CCCUGCAUCUGUGAGUAUGGGAAUGAUUAGGCUGGCUGUGUGCCCUGCACAGAUCAUUUCCAGCCCCGGCGCCAGAAGGAUUGUGCGGGAACGCAAAGCUGGGCAUCAAUGUGUCCUUCUUGAAACCCUGCUUUAAAGGACAAGUCAUGGCAGAUCUUGGGACGGCGGGGGGGGGGGGGGCUCUUGAAGAGGAUGGCCAGGAGACCGCAGGAACCCCAGGGGAACAGCAUCCUGGUUCCCUUGUCUUGGGUUGUGGAGAGUGCUUCCUUGGGGGAAGUGAUGGGAGCAGCUUCAGCUGGGUAGUGAAGCAAAUGGAGCCUUGCCUGGCAAAGAGGCAGAAGGGACUCCAGGCUUUUCUUGCCCGGGACAAAGUUUCUUGCAGGGCUUUGCAGGCUGCCUAGAAGGAGGUGGCUGUGGGACCAGCCAGCUGGCCUUUCUGCUUGCCACCACAGGAAGCAGCAGGCUGCCCUUGCCAGAAGUUGAACGGGUGCCAAUCACUGUGCUCCUGCAUUUGCCAACCUCCAGGACUGUGAACCAGAAUAAAUACCUUUUCUGUAUAAGCUUCCUGGUUCCAGGAAUUCUGACUAGGACAGUAUGCUUAUUUAAAGAUUUCUGGGGAAGAUGGAGCUGGAGAGAUGGCUUAGCAGGUAAGAGGACUUGUUGCUAUGGCAAAGGACGUGGGUUUUGUUCCCAGCCCCCUCACGGU